GUCAUGUUCUGAGCUACUUAAAUGUUGCUUCUGUUAUAAAAAACAUAAUAGGUGUCCUUCAUUUUUUCUUGUUCUUAUAGCAAUGAUAAUAUUUUCUAAUCAGGAUUAGCAAAUAUCUAUUUAAUACACAAAUUGUCAUCAUCCUAAGAACAUAGGCCAUGGAGUGGGCUUGAUUCUGCAACACUUGUCAUAUAUGUUUUAUUGGAUUAUUUGUAUUAUACUGAAAUACUAUCAUAUUUCUAAAAUUUAUUUGCACAUACUAAGUUGAUUCUUGACAUAUAGUUCAACUGGGUUAGAAGGAUGAUGCAAGACUUUUAGAGCUCCAACGUAAUUCAGUAAAAUCAUACCUUUUGAAGGCCAAUAUUCUUCUUCUAGAAAAGUGAAGGUUCAUUAAUUUGGUGUUGUCACUGAUUUUUUUCCGUGUGAGGCAUGUUAUCAAAUUGACAAAAAUCAAGUUUGGUACAUCCAAAGAAGAUAAGAUAUCUUAUUGGAUUGUACAUAUUUGAUGGAACUCGUGGUGAUACAUAAAACCAAGACACAACUAGAAAAGCCCUUAAAUUUCAUUAUUGAAGAAUGAUAGCCAUAGUUCUAUAUUUCCCUCCUUAUCAAGACUUAUAAUGGGUAAUAUUUCAACCGUGUUGCUUGUUAUUUUUAUUCUUGAGCUAUUUUGAAUCUUAUGUAUGUAGUGCACAAAUUAAUGUUUUCAAAGUCUCAUUAUGAUAGAGUCUAGUGACUUGAUUAAUUUGUA